GUUUAUUUUGAAUCCCUCCAUAGUAAUAGGUUUUUGUUCCUACAAACCAAAGGGCUCUAAAGGAAUUUUUCCUCUAGAAAUCCUAUAUCAUGGAAUUUCUACAAGAUUUCUGCAAACCGAAGGAGGCCUAACGUUUCGACUAUGAUGACACUUAGCCCUAUUGUAAAAUCUUCCACUAUAAGGCUUGUCUUAGCCCUUGGAGUCUCGAAAGGAUGGUGUUCAUGCUAGCUUGU
rnacentral:lncRNA from 1 species